CUGUGCCCCAUAGAUGUGUGGGGUGGACCCAUAGAUGGGGUCUGUGCCCUAUAGAUGGGGUCUGUGCCCCAUGGAUGUGUGGGGCUGCCCUAUAGAUGGGGUCUAUGCCCCAUAGAUGGGUGGGGUGGACCCAUAGAUGGAGGCUGUGCCCCAUGGAUGUGUGGGGCUGCCCCAUAGAUGGAGGCUGUGCCCCAUAGAUGGAGGUUGUGCCCCAUAGAUGUGUGGGGCUGCCCCAUAGAUGGGGUCUAUGCCCCAUAGAUGUGUGGGGCUGCCCCAUAGAUGGAGGCUGUGCCCCAUAGAUGGGGUCUGUGCCCUAUAGAUGGGGUCUGUGCCCCAUAGAUGUGUGGGGCUGCCCCAUAGAUGUGUAACCCCGCCCCCUUUUCCCUUGGCCCCGCCCCCAGGUGCUGGUGCUGCGCCGUGAUUGGUCCUCGGUUCUGCAGUCGCUGCUCGUCAAUCUGCCGGCGUGGGCGGAGCAAAGAGCGGCGUGACGUCAUCGGCGGCCUCAUGAAUAAUUAAUUGGGGGGGGGGGGCACCCGUUGUAAUAGGAGAUCCCAGCUAUGGGGCAAUAUGGGGUAAUGUGGGAGGCUAUGGGGCAAUAUGGGGGGCUAUGGGGUGUUAUGGGGCAAUAUGGGGUUGCUAUGGGGCAAUAUGGGGGGCUAUGGGUCUCUAUGGGUCAAUAUGGGUCUCUAUGGGGCAAUAUGGGGGGCUAUGGGGCCAUCAGUGGGUCUCUAUGGGUCAAUAUGGGUCUCUAUGGGGCAAUAUGGGGUGCUAUGGGGCCAUCA
rnacentral:lncRNA from 1 species